UUUUGUAACUGAAUAUAUAAGUCAGAUUAUUUGUUUAAACAUUACAGAUUAGCUUUGGGCUUGUCCUUAAGGAUUGAGACUGAAAAUGGCAAUUGGAUCAGACUUUUAAAGUAAGUUUUAAUAAUUACAUAGAUUUUUUAAUUUCUGAACUCAAUUCAUGUAAAAUGGGAGUUUGCGUGGGGUAUAAUAUUUUUGACCUGUCUGUCCUGUUCGUCAGCCUGGUUCUUGUCAUUGCAACUCCUCUAAAACCACAAUUUCAUAAAACAAGGUAGUAUGUACACAAUACUAUGUAGUUGUGCAUAUAAAGAAGAAAUUAUGGUUCAAUUUUUUUUCUAGGGGUUACGUUAUGCCCCUCUGAACUUAAAUUAAGGCCUAUACUGCUGUAACAGUUGCACUACAAGUCCUUUGAAACUGCACAACAGAAUUUCAUGGAUCUUUAAAGUUAAUGAGGACAGUAUGGCAUAUCCACAAGAAAUGUUUAUCAGUUGACUUUUUUCUAUCAAUACAAGCACAACAGAUUUCUUUAACAAGUAUAUCUAUAGUGCUUGGAUUGACCUGUAAAGGGAAUAUUUCAUACAAGUAUACUGCUUUUAUUAUUUGUUUAUAGGCUGAUGUAAGGACUGGUUCCAUGGUGUUGAAAGUAAGAAUUGACGAUCUGAUACUGCAAACAUAUUGGUAGAUAUACCUAAAUUUUUAUCCCCCACAUAACACCUAAUAUCUCGGACAAGUUCUAUAAUGGUGAACGAUCAACUUUUUUUAAUAUAAUUAUGGCCUAUGGAAAUAUUAAAUAAGUGCAACGAGUGGGACAUUGGAACUAUAUUCUUUUAUUUUAAUCUAAAAGUGUUUGGAUGUCAAUUAAAUAACGAUUCGGGUAUCGUAAAGAUUGCAUUACAUGGAGAUAUUCAGCUCCAGAGGUAAGAGGGUACAUAAUUGUCCAAGAUAGUAGAGAUACUGUCAAGUUUUGAAACAGAAAUUGUUUUGGGGAUACGAUUGCUUUCUAGCAAUCUGUAGACUUAUACCAUUGGCUCAGGGCCAUGCCCUCACGUCAACCAUUUUAUUCUAAACAUUAAGGAACAUCUCAGAUUCUUAUGAUUGUCUUGCUUGAAAAGGUAAAAAAAACCAAAGGGGCGGAACUUAAACAACUUUCCUAUAAUGUUCUUUUCAUAAUCUUCAUGUUUGAUAUUUCCCUUGACUUAUAUGCAUGUUUUUAACAACACGGAAAGUCAGAAUUGAGCAGUAUUUAUAUUUAGUGUUUUUAUAAAUUUAGAAACACGUCAGAAGGAAUUCCCCAGUUUUGAUAAAAAUGCAAGAGUUCUCUGAGUUCCGAAAAAUUUAUUUCUGUCAUAAAAACUGAUGGAGUUUUUCUUAUAUGUCACCGUUAUGAAACUGAUAUUUGAUAUUGUACUUCCAUAAAGAAAUAGAGAACCUUUAACAUUUAAUAUACGUUCUUGCUUCAGGGUUUGUUUAGGUAAUUAUGUGCAUGUGUAUAGUUUUCUUGACUUCAAGGGGUAUUAGAUUGAAUGGUUGCUCUGGAUUCCCCACUCAACCUGUGAACAGUAUAUCCAAGGAUUUGUAUAGUAAGAUCCUUGGUAUAUUUAAAUAAUAUAUAUGUUCCUGACUCAACUGAUUCUAAAACAAUACAACACAUCGAGAAAAAUUAACUUGUUCUAUCGAUAAACGUCGUAUUAUAUUAAAAACCAUCGCAAUUUAAACCAUGGAAUGUGUACAGAAAUAAGUCAUGACCAUUGACCCAAAGGAAAUUAAAUAUUUAAAGAGUUAGGAAUGGGGUUCCUCCUAGAAUUAACGUAGGAAAAUAGGUGAUAAGAUACCAAGUGAAAUACGUUCUCUCACUCUGAGUCUCAGUGACUGCUGUGGAAAGUAAAUUUGGAAGUGAUAGUACAAAAAUAAAACACAAGUACAUUGUUCAUACUGUUACACUUGUAUCUGGGAUUAGUUAUUUUGUAACUAUUCAGAUUACGUAAAUUAUAUUUUACAUGUGCAGUUGAAUUAGUUUUAAAAAUAAUAAUAUACAGCUACAUGUAUACAUGUGUCAAUACAAACAAUGGCAAUCCUAUCCCUCAGAGCAAUCUGCUCUUUGAUUGACUUUUUUUAAUUUAUCAAGAUUUAAACUAAAUAUCCACUGGAUUUCUCGAGUAGUUAUGAAACACAAACUUAGAUGUUGAACAAAGUACCAAUUUUCUAUCAACCAACUUUCUAUCAUUUAAUAUCCACAGAAAUCCAUGUUUUUCUUAAUCACAAUGUAAAUCAUUUAAUCCACUGUCGAUUUUUGAAGAGUUUACAGCUAAUUUCCUAAUGCUUGUAGAGUAAAACGUUGGUUGGCUUGCUUGCUUUGUUUUGUAUAAUUGUUUAUUCAAGCUUUGUAAUUAAGAUUGACAUCUCCAAACAAUAUAUAUGACAUAGUUAAACCUGUAUAUAUCAUAUUUAAAUUCAAUUGGACAUUUUCCCAAUAUAAUUGUACACUAUACAAACAAAGCAAGCAAACUAACCAAAGUCUUCAUCUGCAUGCAUUAGGAAAUUAGCUGUAUAUAACUGAUUCAACUUUGUAUUACAGGUUAGCAUCACAGCUUGUUCUGUUGGAUACUGGCCGGAGUAGAAUUUGGAUCUUUUUGAGGUGAGAAAAUAUUUAUUUGUCCACAUACAAGAGGGUGGUAAUGGGGGUACUUUUAUAACCAAUAAUCGUAAAAAUUCUUACUGAAUGACGCCGACUGUAAAAUUUGGAGCAUGCAAUAAAAUGUAAAGUUUUAGACAAUGAAAAAAAAUCAAACAAAUUUUGAAGAAUCAAGUUAGGCCACACCAACUUAAUUUCUUGUUCUACGGAUUUUUCGACUCCAAAAUUUGGUGCGAGCGAGCGAUUUGAAAAUUUUAAUAAAAAAAUAUUUAAUUUGCAAAUUUUUGAGGCGAAGCUUGUAAAGUAAAGGCGAGCGAUUAUAUUUUUUGUAAACAUAAAAUAGUAUGUUUUGACAAUAAUAAAACUUGAUUUAUAACUUGUACUUUGACAUUUUUUAAUUUCUGAAGUAUUUUUUCCCUGUUCACCAAGAAAUAAUUAAAUCUGGUCUAUGUAUGUGUGACUGACAAUGAGACAAUUCUCCAUCCAAGUCAUAAUCAGUUUGGGGGCAACCCCUUAAUGUUAUAAAUAUCCCUUUUACAUGUUUUAUGAGGGAUCAAUAUAAGUUAUAAUAUAUUUGUUUGCACAAAAGGGCUCAUUUUUUCUCAAAGAACUAUAUAUCUAUCUAGUAUUAAAUGGUCAAAACAUGUCCAAGAAUUUUUUAAUAUUCCUGGACUUUAACCAUGUUACCAUGUUAAAUUAACACAUUUACUUUAACAGUUUAAUAUUAUUCAAAAUAAGUGGACCCCUCUUUUAGAAAAAGUUGUUUAAAAUAGGAUGUAACUGUCCUCUUUUUGAGUACAAAAUUCUAAGUUUUCAAAGGUUUUGUAUAGAAGAACUAUACAAAUCCUUGGUAUUUCUAUUUUCUUUUCUACAUCAGUAAAAUGACCCCUUGUCUGAGGGAGGGUUGUUCUCAACCUGACAAUAACAAGUACAGGUCAAAGUACGGCCUUUUAAAACAGGGCUUUGAUACAGACCAAACAGCAAGCUAUAAAGGAUCCCAAAAUUAUUAGCAUACACAAUUCGAACAGGAAAACCAACGAACUAAUUUAUAUAUCCAAACAGGAAAAUACCAAUGAACAACAUCAACAAACGAUAACUGCUGAACGACAGGCCCCUGAAUCAAUCAGGACAGGUGCAUAAACAUGCAGCGGCUAUAUAUAGUUUUGUUUUGCCAGUAUACAAUAUAAUUGCAUUUGAAGGCAAAUCCUUCAGAAGUUCUUUGUACUUUAUUCUAACAACGAACAUUUUUUGAUAGGGAAUAUAAGUAAGGGGGAAAGAAACCAAUGUUGAUAUCUUUUUAUAAUAUUUACCAAAAAAAAACGGUGCGGGAAAUAGACACGAUUACAUUUCCGGAUGCGGGAAACGGGAAUAUAAAAAAAAUUCUGUUUUGAAAAAAAUAGGUGUGGGCGGGUCCGUCGAACAAGGAAUCAAAUUAGUGUGGCCUUAUAAUUUUUUUCCAAAAAAUAACUGUAACGAUCAUUAUUUGAGACCUCUGACAAAUCACCAGAAGGAUAUUUUUAUCAUCAAUUUGAUGCUAACAGUAGCCGAUAAUGACCGUUUGACGCCUGAUGGUAAAGGGCAUUACUACCCUCCUACAAAUUUAAUUAAUUGAUGUAAUCUUAUGGACAGUUUAAAUUUCUAUAAAUCUUUAUUAUUUGCAAUUAUAUUUCAUCUUAAUAUUUUCUACUGCAGCCUUUAUAGAUGUAAAUCAGAUGUUUUUAAUGCUCUAAACAGUUCAGAAGGUUUAUAGUCCUUUUUAUCUACUUUCUCUUAUACCAUUUUUAAACUUUUACAUAAUAACCAUGAACUGAAUCAUAAAAAGAACCAUUUGUUUUUAUCAUAUUAAAGAAUUGUGAAUACUUGAAAAGGGGAGAUAACCUCACAUUUAUUUGCAAUGAAAUGGCAAGUGCUGUCACAUAGAUAAGAUGUCUUAAUUAUAUUUUGCUUCUUAUUCAGUUUUGUAUUUCUUUCAAUACAAAUUUCCAAAGAAUUCAUUUCUUCAUUCAAUAUAAGGAGAAAACAAAGUAAAUGUCAUAAAACUAGAACCAAACAAUGAAAGAUUAUCGAAAUAUAUUCUGAAUAAUUUUAUCAUUAGUAUGUAAAUUUUUCAAAUUUUCAGCUUUAUAGCUUCUGCUCUUGUUUGACACUCAAUAAAUAAUUAAUUCGAUAUUGGUAAUAGUGAUGUUAACACUUGAAAUCAAAAUUAGCUUAUUAAAAUGUUCAUUUAUAACAAAUUUAGCUGCACAAUCUCUAUUGCAAUAUUUUUUGGUAAAUCAAUAAAUUUGAAUAGAAAACAAGUAUUUUUAUAUACAACAAAAUUCUGUCUAUUUAAAAGAAAAAAACACUCAAAUAUUUAAACAUUACCUAAUUCAUAUAUUUUAACAUUACUUAAAAUUACUAUGGAUUGUCAAGAAAUGAAAUAUUAUUUUAUUUUAUUUUUAGGUGUGUUUCUACUGCUGCCUUGUGUGGUCAAUCCAAUGGACAAUAACAAUCAUGCAGACCAGAUAUAUAUUGCUCUUUUGUUUAAUAAAAUACUUAUAAUUCUGAAAGCCAAACGAUUCAUUUUUUUAUGCUGUU
rnacentral:lncRNA from 1 species